AACGAACGCUGGCGGCAGGCUUGACACAUGCAAGUCGAGCGCCCCGCAAGGGGAGCGGCAGACGGGUGAGUAACGCGUGGGAAUCUACCCAUCUCUACGGAAUAACGCAUGGAAACGUGUGCUAAUACCGUAUACGUCCUUCGGGAGAAAGAUUUAUCGGAGAUGGAUGAGCCCGCGUUGGAUUAGCUAGUUGGUGGGGUAAAGGCCUACCAAGGCGACGAUCCAUAGCUGGUCUGAGAGGAUGAUCAGCCACACUGGGACUGAGACACGGCCCAGACUCCUACGGGAGGCAGCAGUGGGGAAUAUUGGACAAUGGGCGCAAGCCUGAUCCAGCCAUGCCGCGUGAGUGAUGAAGGCCCUAGGGUUGUAAAGCUCUUUCACCUGUGAAGAUAAUGACGGUAACCGGAGAAGAAGCCCCGGCUAACUUCGUGCCAGCCGCCGCGGUAAUAC
rnacentral:rRNA from 1 species